rnacentral:rRNA from 1 species
AUUGAACGCUGGCGGCAUGCCUAACACAUGCAAGUCGAACGGUAACGACGGAAGCUUGCUUCCGGGCGACGAGUGGCGGACGGGUGAGUAACACUUAGGAAUCUGCCCAGUAGUCGGGGGACAACCAGGAGAAAUCCUGGCUAAUACCGCAUACGCACUACGGUGGAAAGUGGGGGACCUUCGGGCCUCACGCUAUUGGAUGAGCCUAAGUCGGAUUAGCUUGUUGGUGAGGUAAAGGCUCACCAAGGCGACGAUCCGUAGCUGGUCUGAGAGGACGAUCAGCCACACUGGGACUGAGACACGGCCCAGACUCCUACGGGAGGCAGCAGUGGGGAAUAUUGGACAAUGGGGGCAACCCUGAUCCAGCAAUGCCGCGUGUGUGAAGAAGGCCUGCGGGUUGUAAAGCACUUUCAGUAGAGAAGAAAAGCCUAGGGUUAAUACCCCUGAGUCUUGACGUAACCUACAGAAGAAGCACCGGCUAACUCCGUG